rnacentral:rRNA from 1 species
GAUGAACGCUGGCGGCGUGCCUAAUACAUGCAAGUCGAGCGAACAGACGAGGAGCUUGCUCCUCUGACGUUGGCGGCGGACGGGUGAGUAACACGUGGAUAACCUACCUAUAAGACUGGGAUAACUUCGGGAAACCGGAGCUAAUACCGGAUAAUAUAUUGAACCGCAUGGUUCAAUAGUGAAAGACGGUUUUGCUGUCACUUAUAGAUGGAUCCGCGCCGCAUUAGCUAGUUGGUAAGGUAACGGCUUACCAAGGCGACGAUGCGUAGCCGACCUGAGAGGGUGACCGGCCACACUGGAACUGAGACACGGUCCAGACUCCUACGGGAGGCAGCAGUAGGGAAUCUUCCGCAAUGGGCGAAAGCCUGACGGAGCAACGCCGCGUGAGUGAUGAAGGUCUUCGGAUCGUAAAACUCUGUUAUUAGGGAAGAACAAAUGUGUAAGUAACUAUGCACGUCUUGACGGUACCUAAUCAGAAAGCCACGGCUAACUACGUG